UUUUAAUAUGUAGGAUAUAGCAAGAGCUUUUUUUCUCUUAUGAUUAAUAUGUUGCUUAAACUAGUUGAAGCAGUGGAUAGUCCAGAUGUAUUUUUCCAGUCAUGAUAAGAGAGUUAUAUCCACAUGAGGGAGCUGGCCAAUACAUAUGGUCCAGGUCUUGCUGUGAAAAGAUGAUGAUGAUUAGAUCCAUACUGAGCAUUGUCUGUACACUGAGAUAUUCUAGGCACUCUACCAAAAAUGAAAUACCAUCUCUGAUUAGUUGCAGUGUGUGAGUAAAAAUGAAAUACAAUCUCUGAUUAGCUGGGCCAAUUUACGUGAGUAUAAAAAUGAAGCUAUGUGAAUAUGAAGGAUAUCAAUAAUAAUUCCAGUUCAAGAUGAGCAACUGUCUGUUGGACAAUUGCAUCAGAAGCAUUGUAUAUGUGUAAGUUGAGCACCUGAUAGAGUUGAGUGAUAUCCUAUCAGCGACUGAAAAUAGUGGUGGUCUUUCGCUGAAGACAAGGCUAAUGCAUAGGCCUAUCUAAUGACUGCUAUACACAGCCAUCUAGAGUUAGAUGUUGAGAUUAUCUAUUGGUGUCCUCAUUGAUGAAAUCCCCAUAUGCCCAGUUUCCAAACAAAGACCAAGAGUGACUUAUGUCAGAGAUCAAUGAGGAAAUCUGUAGUUUUGAUGAUGGAGAAGUCAUCACUUUCUACAUAGCAUGUAACAUAGACAGACUAUCAGAGGAGAUGGUAACCAUAGAUCUGGCUGCAUUUGUUAGCUAUAGGGCUACUUAAGAGUCCAGCUGCCUCUGCUGCAAACACAGAACAGUCUUGAUGAAUGGAAAAAAUUUUUGAAAAUGCCCAGGAAGGGAUCGUGAUCUCUAUAGAUCACCUGAAUCUUCAAUGUAUUGAUCCUUACCAACAAAGAUGAGGGCCAGUGAUGCUGACAGUGCCAAAAACAAGUUUGGGUUGCAAAGAGGAAGAUGUGGCUGUAGGGAGAAGGUUACAAUGACUACUAUAAAUAUUUUGUAUCUAGAAAAUGAAAAACCUUAUUUAAAAUUGAAGAAGUUUAUAGUAGCAGACCAGUUUUGCAGAAUUGAAAUGGAAAUGUUAUUAAAUGCCUUGGAUCAAACAAUUUCUAAACCCUUAAUAGAAGAGUAAUGAGUUAGUUGAGAUAGCAGAUGCAAUAACACUAGCAUCCUCUUAAAUUGGUUUGUAUAUGGGGUGUUCAAAUGAAACCCAUUCGAAAUGUGCCACAUGAUGAAUUG
rnacentral:lncRNA from 1 species